rnacentral:lncRNA from 1 species
UCUCCCAAUUUUGAAUUCCCUGUAUUCGAAGCGGAAGAAGAUGAUGUUGAAGGGAUUCUUGACGAGAUUUCCCGACUUCUUGAGCAAGAAAAGAAGAUCACUCAGCUGCAUCUCGAGAAUCAGCAGAACAGCCAACCGGGGCAUUAAAAAAAAGAAAAGAAAAAAAGAAAGAGGAGGGUGCAAAAUCAAAAGAAAUCAAAAGAAGUCAAAAGAAAUUCAAAUCAAAAGAAAGAAAGAAGAAAGAAAGAAACAAAAGAAAAAU